GAUUUUGUUACGGUCUUUUAUUUACAUUUCGGUUUAUAACUAUGGAAUUUUAAGAAAAAACAGUUAUGAAAUUUUGUUAUUUGUUGAGAAAUCAAGCGCAAGGGACUGAAUACAUUUAAGGCUAAGAUGGUGCCAGCAGCCGCGGUCAGACCAUCUUGGAGAGUAAAUAGAUUUAGUAAAAAAACUAUAUAUUAUAUGUAAUUAUUGGUGAAAUAUAUUUACAUAUUCAACCAAAUUAAGUUCCAUUAGAACUCAAAAUACUUAUAGCAAACAAGGAUUAGAUACCCUUCUAUGGAGUGUGUAAGAAACUUUACGGGGCAUUAAAGCCUGCUGACCUAAACCCAAAUAACAUGGCGGUAAUUUUAAAACUUAGGGGAACUUACCUAAUAAUUGAUAACCACCAAGCAUAGCUACUUUAGUGUGAAAUUUUGUAUGCCGUCGUCUAGAUUAAAUAUAAUAUUUAGUCUUUGGUUUAUACACUAUAUGACAGAUCAUGGUGCAGACGAUCCUAAAGGUCAAGGCGAGUUACAAUAUUAUAUUAUAUUCUAUUUGGUCUGUUAAAAAACCAAAAUAGAUGGACUUAAUAGUAAGACGUUCUAUUAUAAUUACUACCUGAAUAUAAAAUGAAAUUGUGC
rnacentral:rRNA from 1 species